UUUUGUCUUUACUGCACUUGCAGAAGUAUAACCAAGUUAACAAAUACACUUAUAUACAAAAUACAUUUAUAUUUAAGAUACAUUCUCCUAAAGCAAGUCUAAAUAUAUGUUGCUUCUCAAGUAAAUGUAUCUUGUUUAAAAUGAUUUUUAGACCAUUUUAAAUGGAAAAUGACAAAAACACGACUUGAUUUUGCAGUGAAUUUAUUUACUGAAUUAAACUUAAGUAUUUUUCCCCCCUUUAAUUCAGUGAAUGUCAUUUAGAGGUAUUUUUAAAAGAUGAUUUUGUCCUCUAUUGUUAGUAAGCAUGUUUAAUACAACCUUUUAAGUCAGGGCACAAGCUGAAUAAUCGGAUAAGAGCUAACAAUUUAUCUCUGCAAUAAUAGCUGGAUUAAUUGAUUUUCAAAAUAAUCAUUAGUUGCAGCCCAAAUGGCAUGUUUGUUCACAAAAAACAAAACAAAAACAAACUAAAGUCUAGAUUGUGGGUUGUUCCGUCCUUUCAGAUUGGGUAAGAUAUUAUUAUUGGUUCUGCAAACCUAAGAGAAACUCUUCAUAUUAAAAAGAAAAACUGUACAUUGCUGUCAGCAGCUGUACAAAGUGUUUAGUCAGAGAUUUUUCUAUGCCCUCCACUGUAGAGACAACUUUGAGUAAGACAAAUAGUAUGCAACUGGCUACUGCUAAAAAUAACUUGAGAAUUGUGAUAGAAAAAGAUGCUGAUAACAGAAUCUGUCGUAUAGCAGCCUGCAGACAUCAGAAAGUGCAUUGACAGGCUGUUUCUAGUUUGAGUGAAAACUGCCCUUUGGUUUAGAAUUAAUCUGCACUGCAAAGCUAUUAUUUUGCAACCGACCAAUGACAGGCCAAAGCGUUGACUUGCGCUGAUAAAAACAACGUACUUUGCUCAAGCAUGUCCUCUUGUUUCUGAUUAGCUGGAGAAAGAGCUCUUCUGUUUUCCACACCCCUCUUUCUCUCUCGCGGUGUAAGAAAAGCAUGGACACAACGGGGAAAGUGAUCAAAUGCAAGGCAGCAGUGGCCUGGGAGGCUGGUAAGCCUCUCUCUAUUGAGGAGGUGGACAUAGCUCCACCCCAACGCCAUGAAGUCAGAGUUAAGAUUCAUGCUACAAGUGUGUGUCACACUGAUGCUUAUACUCUGAGUGGAAGUGACCCUGAGGGCUUGUUUCCUGUCAUCCUUGGUCACGAGGGGGCAGGCACCGUUGAGAGUGUCGGGGAAGGGGUCACCAAAUUCAAACCAGGUGAUACUGUCAUUCCACUAUAUGUGCCCCAGUGUGGAGAAUGCAAGUUUUGUAAAAACCCCAAAACCAACUUGUGUCAGAAGAUCAGGGUGACCCAGGGUCAGGGUCUGAUGCCCGAUAACACCUCUAGGUUCACCUGUAAAGGCAAGCAGCUCUUCCACUUCAUGGGUACCAGCACCUUCUCUGAGUACACCGUUGUGGCUGAAAUCUCUCUGGCCAAAGUGGAUGAACAUGCUCCCCUGGACAAAGUCUGUUUGCUGGGCUGUGGCAUCUCAACUGGAUAUGGAGCUGCUCUCAACACUGCCAAGGUUGAAGCUGGCUCUACAUGUGCUGUGUUCGGUUUGGGAGCUGUCGGCCUCGCCGUCAUAAUGGGCUGCAAGUCUCAGGGUGCCACCAGGAUCAUUGGCAUUGACAUCAAUCCAGACAAGUUUAAAAUUGCCAAAAAGUUUGGAGCCACUGAGUUUGUGAACCCCAAAGACCACAGCAAAUCUAUUCAGGAGGUGCUGGUGGAGCUGACAGAUGGAGGAGUUGACUAUUCUUUUGAAUGCAUCGGCAAUGUUGGCAUUAUGAGAGCUGCUCUUGAGGCAUGUCACAAAGCCUGGGGAACCAGUGUCAUCAUUGGCGUGGCAGGGGCAGGUCAAGAAAUCUCCACCCGCCCUUUCCAGCUAGUAACAGGGCGUACAUGGAAAGGCACAGCCUUUGGUGGCAGCAGAUGCCCUAACCCCGCCCCCACCUUAAUCCUAACCAUAUGGAGCCUAUAAGGCUGACUAUCCUGCCAGGAACAACCUUUCUCCCAUGGCGGCAUUAUCGGAAACAUCUUCAUGUCUUCUGAAGUCUUUCAGGCUGGAAAAGUGUGGAGAGUGUUCCAAAGCUGGUGAAUGACUACAUGAGCAAGAAGCUGAUGGUAGAUGAGUUUGUCACUCACACAUUGCCCUUCGACCAGAUCAAUGAUGCCUUUGACUUGAUGCAUGCUGGAAAGAG